GAUGAACGCUAGCGGCAGGCUUAAUACAUGCAAGUCGAGGGGCAGCACAGGUAGCAAUACUGGGUGGCGACCGGCAAACGGGUGCGGAACACGUACACAACUUACCUUAAGGUGGGGGAUAGCCCAGGGAAACUUGGAUUAAUACCCCAUAAUACAGGGGGCCCGCAUGGGUCUAUUGUUAAAGAUUUAUUGCCUUAAGAUGGGUGUGCGUCUGAUUAGGUAGUUGGUGAGGUAAAGGCUCACCAAGCCAACGAUCAGUAACUGGUGUGAGAGCACGACCAGUCACACGGGCACUGAGACACGGGCCCGACUCCUACGGGAGGCAGCAGUAAGGAAUAUUGGUCAAUGGACGGAAGUCUGAACCAGCCAUGCCGCGUGAAGGAUGAAGGUCCUCUGGAUUGUAAACUUCUUUAUAGGGGGCGAAAAAGGGCCUUUUGAGGUCAACUGACGGUACCCUAUGAAUAAGCACCGGCUAACUCCGUGCCAGCCGCCGCGGUAAGAC
rnacentral:rRNA from 1 species